rnacentral:rRNA from 1 species
AAGGCAUACGGCUCAGUAACACGUAGUCAACUUACCCUAUGGACGAGGAUAAUCUCGGGAAACUGAGCAUAAUACUCGAUAGAUCAUAAUGCCUGGAAUGGUUUAUGGUUGAAAUGAUUCGUCGCCAUAGGAUGGGACUGCGGCCUAUCAGCUUGUCGGUGAGGUAAUGGCCCACCAAGGCGAUUACAGGUACGGGCUCUGAGAGGAGAAGCCCGGAGAUGGGUACUGAGACAAGGACCCAGGCCCUAUGGGGCGCAGCAGGCGAGAAAACUUUGCAAUGUGCGAAAGCACGACAAGGUUAAUCCGAGUGAUUUCUGCUAAAGAAAUCUUUUGCAAGUCAUAAAACCACUAGUGAAUAAGGGGUGGGCAAGUUCUGGUGUCAACCGCCGCGGUAAAACCAGCACCUCAAGUGGUCAGGAGGAUUAUUGGGCCUAAAGCAUCCGUAGCCGGCUCUGUAAGUUUUCGGUUAAAUCCAUGUGCUCAACGCAUGGGCUGCCGAAAAUACUGCAUAGCUAGGGAGUGGGAGAGGUAGACGGUACUCGGUAGGAAGGGGUAAAAUCCUUUGAUCUAUCGAUGACCACCUGUGGCGAAGGCGGUCUACCAGAACACGUUCGACGGUGAGGGAUGAAAGCUGGGGGAGCAAACCGGAUUAGAUACCCGGGUAGUCCCAGCUGUAAACGAUGCAGACUCGAUGAUGCAUUGGCAUAUAGCCAGUGCAGUGUCGCAGGGAGGCCGUUAAGUCUGCCGCCUGGGAAGUACGUACGCAAGUAUGAAACUUAAAGGA